rnacentral:rRNA from 1 species
CCCGCACAAGCGGUGGAGCAUGUGGUUUAAUUCGAUGCAACGCGAAGAACCUUACCUAGACUUGACAUCCCGGGAAUCCUUAGGAAACUAAGGAGUGCCUUUCGGGGAGCCCGGAGACAGGUGCUGCAUGGCUGUCGUCAGCUCGUGUCGUGAGAUGCUGGGUUAAGUCCCGCAACGAGCGCAACCCUUAUCCCCAGUUGCCAUCAGGUAAAGCUGGGAACUCUGGGGAGACUGCCGGUGAUAAACCGGAGGAAGGCGGGGAUGACGUCAAGUCCUCAUGGCCCUUACAUCCCGGGCUACACACGUGCUACAAUGGCAGGUACAGAGGGCUGCAAAGCCGCGAGGUAGAGCGAAUCCCAGAAAACCUGUCUCAGUCCGGAUUGAAGUCUGCAACUCGACUUCAUGAAGGCGGAAUCGCUAGUAACCGCGAAUCAGCAGGUCGCGGUGAAUACGUUCCCGGGCCUU